GGUUGCAGGUUUUUGGACGGUCGGCUUCCUCCUCUGGGGAUCAUGAAUAUCCGAGCAAAGUUUUACAGGAAAUAGAUGUUGAGAUACAUCCGUCUUGAUCCUGCCGCUAGCUCAGCCAAAAUCACAUCAGUGGGCAUGAAACCGCAUAUUUGUGGUCCGUCUUAACACAUUUUUGUCUUCAGCGUGAACAAAUGGACUUUUACUUUGAAAAGCGUACUAAUGAGAACCUUUGAUGUCUGAUAAAAAGAAAACCGACCCAGUGUAACGCCUAAAACGUACGACGCCGGAGCCGCACAGCUCGGCGCCCCCCGCCACGACGCCGGAGCCGCACAGCCCGGCGCCCCACCCCCCGAGACCCUGAGGCCCGGCUGCCGACCCGGCAGACCUCCGGACCAUAGCUGUCGGGUCCCCACC